UACGUAGGUGGCAAGCGUUAUCCGGAUUUACUGGGUGUAAAGGGCGUGUAGGCGGGCUUGCAAGUCAGAUGUGAAAUUCCAUGGCUCAACCGUGGAACUGCAUUUGAAACUGUAGGUCUUGAGUGCUGGAGAGGCAAUCGGAAUUCCGUGUGUAGCGGUGAAAUGCGUAGAUAUACGGAGGAACACCAGUGGCGAAGGCGGAUUGCUGGACAGUAACUGACGCUGAGGCGCGAAAGCGUGGGGAGCAAACAGG
rnacentral:rRNA from 1 species